ensembl:snRNA U7 U7 small nuclear RNA
GAAAAUUUGCUCUUUUAGUAUUUGUCUAGCAGGGUCCUGAAAUAUGUAGGACCCCCC